GGAUUAGAUACCCUGGUAGUCCACGCCGUAAACGGUGGGUGCUAGGUGUGAGCGGUAUUCCACGCCGUUCGUGCCGCAGCUAACGCAUUAAGCACCCCGCCUGGGGAGUACGGCCGCAAGGCUAAAACUCAAAGGAAUUGACGGGGGCCCGGCACAAGCGGCGGAGCAUGUGGCUUAAUUCGACGCAACGCGAAGAACCUUACCAAGGCUUGACAUGCAGGGAAAUCUCGUAGAGAUACGGGGUCCGCAAGGGUCCUGCACAGGUGGUGCAUGGUUGUCGUCAGCUCGUGUCGUGAGAUGUUGGGUUAAGUCCCG
rnacentral:rRNA from 1 species